ACCUCUUCCCAUUCCGAACAGAGCAGUCAAGCCCGCCAGAGCCGAUGGUACUGCCGUAAAAGGUGGGAGAGUAGGUCGGUGCCGAAC
rnacentral:rRNA from 1 species